UAAUGUAGCUUAAUAAAAGUUUCUUGCUUACACCAAGAMUAUGUCUGUUAAAUCCGGAUCAUUUUGAG
rnacentral:tRNA from 1 species